rnacentral:rRNA from 1 species
UACGGAGGGGACUAGCGUUGUUCGGAAUUACUGGGCGUAAAGGGCUCGUAGGCGGCCAACUAAGUCAGACGUGAAAUCCCUCGGCUUAACCGGGGAACUGCAUCUGAUACUGGAUGGCUUGAGUUCGGGAGAGGGAUGCGGAAUUCCAGGUGUAGCGGUGAAAUGCGUAGAUAUCUGGAGGAACACCGGUGGCGAAGGCGGCAUCCUGGACCGACACUGACGCUGAGGAGCGAAAGCCAGGGGAGCAAACGGG